AACUCGCAAAGGCCUACUACCGCCACUUACCAAAACGUACGAAAGCAGGGAACCAAAAAAUCGAGGUUGAGUGACAGGAUUUCGACAGGAUUUUAGAAGCAAGGAAAAAGAAUGAAUCCAACUACGAUUCCGUGAGAGGAGAGUCUCAUUCUUCACAAUUUGAUGCUGUCAAAAACCCAAAAAAAUCAACUAAUGAAACAGACAACAACACUAAAAACGAUAUUAAAAGAAACUCCCCUAACUCGUAAAGCCCUACUAUCGCCACUUACCAAAAUGUACGAAAGCAGGGAACCAAAAAAUCGCGGUUGAUUGACAGGAUUUCAGAAGCAAGGAAAAAGAAUGAAUUUUUUGCCAGUCACAGAAAAAGAACGUCAAAACUUUAGAGAGAGAGAAAAACAAAAUAAAAAUAAAAAAUUUAAUUUUAAUUGGCACUAUCCCACUACAUCCUCAACCACCCAAUCGCCCCAGAAUUCUAAUUCCACUGAAACUCUAUCACAAAACCAA
rnacentral:lncRNA from 1 species